AUUGAACGCUGGCGGCAUGCCUUACACAUGCAAGUCGAACGGUAACAGGUUAAGCUGACGAGUGGCGAACGGGUGAGUAAUGUAUCGGAACGUGCCCAGUCGUGGGGGAUAACUACUCGAAAGAGUGGCUAAUACCGCAUACGACCUGAGGGUGAAAGCGGGGGACCGUACGGCCUCGCGCGAUUGGAGCGGCCGAUAUCAGAUUAGCUAGUUGGUGGGGUAAAAGCCCACCAAGGCGACGGUCUGUAGCUGGUCUGAGAGGACGACCAGCCACACUGGGACUGAGACACGGCCCAGACUCCUACGGGAGGCAGCAGUGGGGAAUUUUGGACAAUGGACGCAAGUCUGAUCCAGCCAUGCCGCGUGCGGGAAGAAGGUCUUCGGGUUGUAAACCGCUUUUGUCAGGGAAGAAACGAGUUUCUCUAAUACAGAGACUUAAUGACGGUACCUGAAGAAUAAGCACCGGCUAACUACGUGCCAGCCGCCGCCGUAACAC
rnacentral:rRNA from 1 species